CAGUAGCCGCGGGAAUACGUAGGGUGCAAGCGUUACUCGGAAUUACUGGGCGUAAAGCGUGCGUAGGUGGUGGUUUAAGUCCGUUGUGAAAGCCCUGGGCUCAACCUGGGAAUUGCAGUGGAUACUGGGCCACUAGAGUGUGGUAGAGGAUAGUGGAAUUUCCGGUGUAGCAGUGAAAUGCGUAGAUAUGCGGAGGAACACCGAUGGCGAAGGCAGCCCCCUGGGCCAAUACUGACGCUCAUGCACGAAAGCGUGGGGAGCAAACAGGAUUAGAUACCCGUGUAGUCCCUGUCUCUUAUAC
rnacentral:rRNA from 1 species